rnacentral:rRNA from 1 species
GUGCCAAGCAGCCGCGGUAAAACCAGCACCUCAAGUGGUCAGGAUGAUUAUUGGGCCUAAAGCAUCCGUAGCCGGCUCUGUAAGUUUUCGGUUAAAUCUGUACGCUCAACGUACAGGCUGCCGGGAAUACUGCAGAGCUAGGGAGUGGGAGAGGUAGACGGUACUCGGUAGGAAGGGGUAAAAUCCUUUGAUCUAUUGAUGACCACCUGUGGCGAAGGCGGUCUACCAGAACACGUCCGACGGUGAGGGAUGAAAGCUGGGGGAGCAAACCGGAUUAGAUACCCGGGUAGUCCCAGCUGUAAACUAUGCAAACUCAGUGAUGCAUUGGCUUGUGGCCAAUGCAGUGCUGCAGGGAAGCCGUUAAGUUUGCCGCCUGGGAAGUACGUACGCAAGUAUGAAACUUAAAGGAAUUGGCGGGGGAGCACCACAAGGGGUGAAGCCUGCGGUUCAAUUGGAGUCAACGCCAGAAAUCUUACCCGGAGAGACAGCAGAAUGAAGGUCAAGCUGAAGACUUUACCAGACAAGCUGAGAGGUGGUGCAUGGCCGUCGCCAGCUCGUGCCGUGAGAUGUCCUGUUAAGUCAGGUAACGAGCGAGAUCCCUGCCUCUAGUUGCCACCAUUACUCUCAGGAGUAGUGGGGCGAAUUAGCGGGACCGCCGCAGUUAAUGCGGAGGAAGGAAGGGGCCACGGCAGGUCUGUGAUGCCC